rnacentral:lncRNA from 1 species
GAUGUGUCAGGCUUUCUGGCUUUUGUUGAAGCUGCAGGCUGGUUGUUCAGCUGUAGGGCGGCAGAACAGCGAAAGGCUUUCGAAUAUAGUAGGGGAGCCAAAGUGUGCUCAGAAACACUGAGAAGCGGCUCAGUCAGAAUCACAGAAUCACCACAGUUGGAAAAGACCUCUAAGUCCAACCGCCCACCUGCCACCCACUGCUGCUGACAUGUCCUCAGCGCCACAUCUCCAUGGCUGUUGAGCACCUCCAGGGAUGGGGUCCGCACCACUCCCUGUGCAGCCUGUGCCACUGCUUGACUGCUCUUUCUGAGAAGAAUUUUUUCCUAAUACCCAGCCUGAACCUCCCUGGUGCAGCGUAAGGCCAUCACCUCUCAUCCUUACGUGAGAGCAGAGGCCAAACCCCA